rnacentral:rRNA from 1 species
GGGUUGUGAGGUUAAGCGACUAAGCGUACACGGUGGAUGCCUAGGCAAUCAGAGGCGAUGAAGGACGUGCUAAUCUGCGAUAAGCGUCGGUAAGGUGAUAUGAACCGUUACAACCGACGAUUUCCGAAUGGGGAAACCCAGUGCAAUUCGUUGCACUAUCGUUUGAUGAAUACAUAGUCAAACGAAGCGAACCGGGGGAACUGAAACAUCUCAGUACCCCGAGGAAAAGAAAUCAACCGAGAUUCCCCUAGUAGCGGCGAGCGAACGGGGAGCAGCCCAGAGUCUUAAUCAGCAUUAGCAUCAGGAGAACGGUCUGGAAAGUCCGGCAGUAAAGGGUGAUAGCCCCGUAUCCGAAGGUGUUAGUGUUGUGAACUCGACGAGUAGGGCGGGACACGUGUUAUCCUGUCUGAAUAUGGGGGGACCAUCCUCCAAGGCUAAAUACUCCUGAUUGACCGAUAGUGAACCAGUACCGUGAGGGAAAGGCGAAAAGAACCCCGGCGAGGGGAGUGAAAUAGAACCUGAAACCGUGUACGUACAAGCAGUGGGAGCCUUGAUUUAUCAGGGUGACUGCGUACCUUUUGUAUAAUGGGUCAGCGACUUAUAUUCUGUAGCAAGGUUAACCGUAUAGGGGAGCCGUAGGGAAACCGAGUCUUAACUGGGCGAAUAAGUUGCAGGGUAUAGACCCGAAACCCGGUGAUCUAGCCAUGGGCAGGUUGAAGGUUGGGUAACACUAACUGGAGGACCGAACCGACUAAUGUUGAAAAAUUAGCGGAUGACUUGUGGCUGGGGGUGAAAGGCCAAUCAAACCGGGAGAUAGCUGGUUCUCCCCGAAAGCUAUUUAGGUAGCGCCUCGUGAACUCAUCUUCGGGGGUAGAGCACUGUUUCGACUAGGGGGUCAUCCCGACUUACCAACUCGAUGCAAACUACGAAUACCGAAGAAUGUUAUCACGGGAGACACACGGCGGGUGCUAACGUUCGUCGUGAAGAGGGAAACAACCCAGACCGCCAGCUAAGGUCCCAAAGUCAUAGUUAAGUGGGAAACGAAGUGGGAAGGCUCAGACAGCCAGGAUGUUGGCUUAGAAGCAGCCAUCAUUUAAAGAAAGCGUAAUAGCUCACUGGUCGAGUCGGCCUGCGCGGAAGAUGUAACGGGGCUAAACUAUGCACCGAAGCUGCGGCAGCGAUAUUUAGAUAUUGUUGGGUAGGGGAGCGUUCUGUAAGCCUGUGAAGGUGUACUGUGAGGUAUGCUGGAGGUAUCAGAAGUGCGAAUGCUGACAUAAGUAACGAUAAUGCGGGUGAAAAACCCGCACGCCGGAAGACCAAGGGUUCCUGUCCAACGUUAAUCGGGGCAGGGUGAGUCGACCCCUAAGGCGAGGCAGAAAUGCGUAGUCGAUGGGAAACGGGUUAAUAUUCCCGUACUGGUGAUAAUUGCGAUGGGGGGACGGAGAAGGCUAGGCUAUCCGGGCGACGGUUGUCCCGGUUUAAGAAUGUAGGCAGGUGAAUUAGGCAAAUCCGGUUCACUAUAUGCUGAGGUUCGAUGACGAGUCACUACGGUGAUGAAGUAGCUCAUGCCCCGCUUCCAGGAAAAGCCUCUAAGCUCUAGAUUAUCAUUAAUCGUACCCCAAACCGACACAGGUGGUCAGGUAGAGAAUACUCAGGCGCUUGAGAGAACUCGGGUGAAGGAACUAGGCAAAAUGGUGCCGUAACUUCGGGAGAAGGCACGCUGGCGCUAGGUGAAGUCCCUCGCGGAUGGAGCUGAAGCCAGUCGCAGAUACCAGCUGGCUGCAACUGUUUAUUAAAAACACAGCACUGUGCAAACACGAAAGUGGACGUAUACGGUGUGACGCCUGCCCGGUGCUGGAAGGUUAAUUGAUGGGGUUAUCCGUAAGGAGAAGCUCUUGAUCGAAGCCCCAGUAAACGGCGGCCGUAACUAUAACGGUCCUAAGGUAGCGAAAUUCCUUGUCGGGUAAGUUCCGACCUGCACGAAUGGCGUAAUGAUGGCCAGGCUGUCUCCACCCGAGACUCAGUGAAAUUGAACUCGCUGUGAAGAUGCAGUGUACCCGCGGCAAGACGGAAAGACCCCGUGAACCUUUACUAUAGCUUGACACUGAACAUUGAGCCUUGAUGUGUAGGAUAGGUGGGAGGCUUCGAAGCGUGGACGCCAGUCUGCGUGGAGCCAACCUUGAAAUACCACCCUUUAAUGUUUGAUGUUCUAACGUUGCCCCAUUAUCUGGGGUGCGGACAGUGUCUGGUGGGUAGUUUGACUGGGGCGGUCUCCUCCCAAAGAGUAACGGAGGAGCACGAAGGUUGGCUAAGCAUGGUCGGACAUCAUGCGGUUAGUGCAAAGGCAUAAGCCAGCUUGACUGCGAGAGUGACGGCUCGAGCAGGUACGAAAGUAGGUCUUAGUGAUCCGGUGGUUCUGAAUGGAAGGGCCAUCGCUCAACGGAUAAAAGGUACUCCGGGGAUAACAGGCUGAUACCGCCCAAGAGUUCAUAUCGACGGCGGUGUUUGGCACCUCGAUGUCGGCUCAUCACAUCCUGGGGCUGAAGUAGGUCCCAAGGGUACGGCUGUUCGCCGUUUAAAGUGGUACGCGAGCUGGGUUUAGAACGUCGUGAGACAGUUCGGUCCCUAUCUGCCGUGGGCGUUGGAAGAUUGAAAGGGGCUGCUCCUAGUACGAGAGGACCGGAGUGGACGCACCACUGGUGUUCGGGUUGUCAUGCCAAUGGCAUUGCCCGGUAGCUAAGUGCGGAAGAGAUAACCGCUGAAAGCAUCUAAGCGGGAAACUUGCCUUGAGAUGAGUCUUCCCUGACCCUUUAAGGGUCCUAAAGGAACGUUUAAGACUAAGACGUUGAUAGGUUGGGUGUGUAAGCAUAGCGAUAUGUUGAGCUAACCAAUACUAAUGAACCGUGAGGCUUAACCUGACAACACCGAAGGUGUUUUAG